UUAAAUGGCCGCGGUAUUUUGACCGUGCUAAGGUAGCAUAAUCAUUAGUUUUUUUAUUGAAAGCUGGAAUGAAAGGUUGGAUGAAAAAAAAACUGUCUCUUUUUAAAUUUUAUAUAAUUUUAUUUUUUAGUUAAAAAGCUAAGAUAAUUUUAAAAGACGAGAAGACCCUGUAGAGUUUUAUAAGUAUUUUAUUAUUUUAAUUUUUAAUAUAAUAUUUAUUUGGUUGGGGUGAUUUAAAAAUUUAAUAAACUUUUUUUUUCUUUUUAUAUUUAUAAAUAAGUAUUUGAUCUAAUAAUUAUUGAUUAAAAGAAAAAAUUACCUUAGGGAUAACAGCGUAAUUUUAUUGGAGAGUU
rnacentral:rRNA from 1 species